rnacentral:rRNA from 1 species
UACGUAGGGGGCUAGCGUUGUCCGGAAUCAUUGGGCGUAAAGAGCGUGUAGGCGGCCCGGUAAGUCCGCUGUAAAAGUCAAAGGCUCAACCUUUGAAUGUCAGUGGAUACUGCCGGGCUAGAGUCCGGAAGAGGCGAGUGGAACUCCUGGUGUAGCGGUGGAAUGCGCAGAUAUCGGGAGGAACACCAAUGGCGAAGGCAGCUCGCUGGGACGUUACUGACGCUGAGACGCGAAAGCGUGGGGAGCAAACAGG